ensembl:lncRNA
GAUGACUGCCUGCUGCUUUCUUGUUAGUAUUUCUCUUUACCUGUAUUGAGGUGUGACUUUGAUUCAAGAAUGAUUUCCUGGUUUCAAAGCAAGAGCAGCUUCUUUUUCUUCUCCACCAGAGACUCUUAAGAAGGUAGGUUCUUAAGAAACAAAAAGAGGCUUUAAGUGUGGCCUCCGUCCUCCCCAGGCCCCCUAGGGUGGGGGCCAAAAGGGAGGUCCCUGGCUGGAGGGGGGAGGGGAGUGAAUGCCUGCUGGCAGUGGAGACAGGCCGCCCAUCCCAGCCACACACCUCCCCUGAGGAAGCAGAGUCUUGCGUCAUGUCAGUAGGUGACAGUUUCUCCGGAGGGCUGGGCAGCAGCGUCUGCUCACACUGGUUGCCCGUCCUGCUGCCUUAGGUCACCCAAGAUGGGGAGGCCCCAGGCCCUCAGGUUUGGGGGAUUGGCUGGUUAUCAGAUUAGCUGCACAUUCAGGGUCUGGGUGCAAAGGCUCAAGGCCUCCAGCAGGCCUUUCCAGAUAUAUUGCAGAACUAGCCACACCCGAUGUGCUUCCCACGUCAUAGCAGCUUUUGCAUCAGCCUGUUGACCACGUAAGGCCCGCAAGCCCAAAGGAUGUAGAAGACUUUCUGGUGAGCAAAGGGCAAGGAAACUGUUGCAAAGGCGUGCGUAGGUGGAUUGGGAAGCAGGGGUGUCCAGGAGCGUUCGCACCGGACACAGCGGUCAUAAGACAACCAGCCCCCAGGGCCCCGUGGGCCGGCGGGUUAUAUUAGGGUGACCCUAUGGCCUUGUAUGCCCAGGACAGGGCUGGUUUGUGCCUUUUGUCCCCAAGAGCAUUAUCAGCAGACCCUUUUCACUCUCGGAAAUAUCCAGGCUUGGAUGGCAAAUCACGUGGUCCCCUUAAUCGCCUGUAACUGGGUACAUGCAGUAUGGAUGGAGUGUGGAUGAUACACUUAAGUCAAAUCCUGUGCCAGUGUGCUAUGCAGCUCUGAAGCUGUCUGUGGGUUAACACCAUUGCACUGUCGUGGGUAGAAUCUGUCACCAUCUCAUGGCACAUGUGGCUUAGAGGUGAGACCAUGGACCAAAAUGUCAAAUAGACCACAGGUCAAAUCCUUCCUCCCAGCCAGCCAGCUUUUUGACCUUUAGGACAUUACUUAGCUCCUCUCAACCAUGAAUUACGAAUAGUCCUGCGGCCCUCACAGUGUUGCUUCUAGUUCAUUCCUAAGGAACCAUGAAGUUGUGGGCUGCCCUGAUCAGUGACGACGUCCUGGUGCUGAGGAUGUUUUGACUGUUAUUAUUUUGGCUCUCACCUCCCCAUCUGUGAAAUGGGGAGUGGUGAACCCCAGGUUUCCAUGAGGCUGAACUCACACGGCCUCCGCAGAACCCAGUGUCUGGGCAAGUGUGUAAGUUGCUGUUCCAGGGCGCUCUUUGGGCAGAGUCUUGCUCGCCAGCCUGCCCGUGGGUCCCUCCCUCUGUGACGGGGAAACUGGGUUCCCAAGACAUCAUUCCUUCCACCCACCCUGCUGACUCUCCCAUCUUGGGUCCUCCCUCCGUCCCCUCCUCAGGCCACCCCACUUCCUCCUCCUGCAAGUGGUGCUGUGUCAACACCAAAGCCAGGAAGUCAUUUACUGGUGCCAGCUGCCACCCAGGGAGGGCUGGGGACCAGGUUCCCAGACCCCCUGUUCAGCACUUCGCAGUCGACCUCUCCGCCUGCCCGAGAGUUUCCUCCCUCCUCUGCCUUUUGCGUGAAUGUGUCAUCUGUUCCCAGUGCCCUUCCCCCACCCCCUGUUUCUUUCCACUAAUCGCCUGUUCUACAUGCCUCGCCCCUCCCAUUUCUUUUUUUAAUAAAACAGUUUUGAGAUGGAGUAAUAACCGCAAAGUGGUUAAAAGCAAGAAUUCGAGCCAGAUGGCAGGAAUUCAAAUCUUGGCUCUACCCCUAAACAGCCAGAUCCCUUGGACAAGCGCCUCAGUUUCCUCAUCUGUAAGAGGGGGCAAGAAUUACCUCCUUCUGUCCCCUGUGGCUGCUGUGGGGUUUCAGGGAGGCACCAGAUGGCCAGUGUGAACCGACUGGGAUGCUCUUCAUGUAGGUACCUGAUUGGACGGGACCUGAAUGUAUCUACCACCCACCCACCUGCGCUCCCAGAGCCCUGGGAGAGCAGCCACGUGGAGGUUCCCUGACUCGGGGUGUGGGCUCUGUUGCUGGUAAACUUGGGACUUGAACAAGCAGGCUUCCACCUGGCCUUUAGAUUCCAUAUCAGUUCAGCCUAAAGGGGGGAGUGUGGCCUGUUUUGCCUUCUCUUGGUUUGCCCCCACCCAGCCCACCCACCCACCCCCAGAACCACUCAAAAGUGGAAGACACGCAGCUGUUCUCAGCUGUUUCUCAGCCACUCCCUUGGAUGGGGUAAGGGCCGUGGGGGGCGGCACGGGAGGUGGCGAAAAGGUCACAGGCCACAGGUCACAUGAAGGUCGAGGAGAUGCCGGUUCUCGUUUCGGUUCUGUUGGGUGACCCUGGAGAAGUCGUUUCAUGUCACUGGAUUUCUGCUUCCCUAUUUUUGAAAUGGGAUAACCACCCCUCUGUUUUGUACCUCUCGUAAAACAAGCAAAGAAGGCGAGAUGUUGAAAAGCACUUUGCUGGCUGCCUGGUGCUACCGGAGCCGCCCCCCACCCCCCCACAGUGGUCUCAGGUGGUAUCAGGCUCCUCCCGUGGAGCAGAAGGACUGUGGCAGCAGCUCCGACCACUCAGAACCACUGGGGAUGAGAGCGGAUGAGCAUGGAGGGGAUGGAAGCGGAUGAGCAUGCUGUGUGAGGUUGGGCUGUGCUUUGGGACCCCGAGCCGGGACUAGUGUCUCUCCAUGCUUGAUCUCUCUUCUCCCUGAUGGACUCUGGCCCGUGGGUGACUCAGACAGGAAACCACCAGCCAUCCCUUCAAAAAGCUUGGACUCCUCUCAAAGACGUGCUUACUUUUUAUCGCUCUGUGUUUAUUUGGAUGGUGGGGGAGUAAUUCACAGAGUCAGGGCACAGCCACAGAGUGAGCUUCUGCCAUGGUUGGGUCUCUGGGAUCGAAUCCAGAAGAUGGGAGGAGGUGGGACAUGAGGCGGGCUGGAUUAGGAUCCAAGGUAGCUAAAUGCUGGCCUGUGGACCAGAGCCAGUGGGUGACAUAAAACUCUCUAGAAACGUGACCCCUGCUGUAGGUUCAGGCUGCACUUUUUUUUUUUUUUCAGCUUCUCCGGAUUGCACAGCCCCUUUGGGGAACCACUGGAGUGAGUGGGACUGGUAUCUGAGGGCCAGCCUGUUAGGGGGCUCUGUGUGCCCUGCCCACAUCCAAGUACCCGUCCCAAGGCUGUAAAGUAGUAUUAGUGUUGGUGUCACAGUGUGAUUAGGUUAUUUUUAGCCUUAUCUGCUUGAGGGGUUGUUCAGCUUAUCAGGUGACCCCAUCCUUAUUGAUGGAUAUGGGGAGUGGGGGAGCUUCUCUGAGUGUCUGUAAUUAAGCCGAGUGGACAAAGUGGACAGCAAAAGAGUCUGGAAGUACCUCAGGGUCGUGGUCUGGAGGAGGCACAGCAUUCCAUUGUCCUGACCCUCUUAGUUUUGCGGUAGAAAGUGAGAUUCUUACUGGACCCCAUUGGAUGAAUCAGGUCCUAAUCAAAUACUCUAAAAACAGGCUAUUAUUUUGAGAGCUUUGGAGAAAGAAAGAAAGUGGGGGGGGUGGAUAGGAUAACCCCCCUGACACCUGAUCACAUUGACAGCUUUUCUUGUUUCCAGGUCCUUUUGCGACACCUCUGGCUUCUUGGUGGCGGUGGCGGCUGUGCCCUGAUGGGGAUUCACGGGUGUAACCCCCAAAUCCAGAGGAAGCAAACUUCUCCCCCCGCCCCCGACUCCACCGCCACCAUGACCUGGUUUCCCAAAACGCGGGGCUCAGAAAUCACUUUCUCAUCAGGCCAAAGUUGCUGUGUGUUUGCUAUCAUUUCCUUCCCUCCCCCUCCCCCCCACUUCCUGUUUUUUUCUUCCUCUUUCUCCACCCCCGCCCCAUCUCUCCAGCCGAAUCCCUCAUUGUCUGCGAACAGGAACAGAGAGAGGCCGAGCAUUGAUGGGCAUGAGUUCCUGUGGCUGCUCAGAGCCAGGGCCAGACUAGCUUCUUUGGGGCACAUGAGACCCCGCUGGAAGCACAUAGGAAGCCAGGGCUGUCAGAGCCUCCUGUCUGAACGAGAAUCUAACAAGAAUAACCCUUCAUAUCCUUGCAACAAUAACAGCUUCCAAAGAACUUUCUCCUGCCUUUGAGCUAACACACUGGAAAAAUAGGACAACUCCUAGUGUUUUAGCCUAAUCGCUAUCAUCCAGUUUGCACGGACAAAACAUUGAUUUGGGUGUUGGAUAUGAGUUCAUGUCUGGCUCUGCGCUGAAUUUUCUUUCUAGUUCUUUCCAGCUUGGUUCCCUAACCCCCUUGGAAGAAUGGAGUUGAUGGUACCUCCGGGGGAAUUUUUGAGGACAAAUUAGGAAAAUAUCUCUAUAAGAUUUAUAUGAUGUGCCUGGUUGGUAUUAUUUGCGUCAUAAAUGUGAACUCCCCUCUUUGGUUUUGGUUUUCUGCCCAGAGGAGUGGCUGUUCAAAUGGACGGUGGUCGGAAAAAAAAAUCACACAAGAACUGAUACCCUCGGGAGGAGAAUGCAUGUCUGUUACUGUGUUUUCCCGAAAUGAGGGAGAGACAGAGACGGAGAGAGAUCAGGGACCUGCGGGCUGGUUGCACACAUGUCUAUCACUGAAAAGCGAAGUCCCCCCUCCGCUGUGUUCACGAGCCCCAUUUUUCCAUAACAAUAUUUUUCUAAUGGAAAACAGGGAGAACCAUCCCAGCCACAUGCCUGAGGAGGACUGGUUUACUCAUUUAGCUCCCGGGGGUCAAACUACAAAAACAGCAGUCUGGAAAAAGUGCCACCUCCCAUUU